rnacentral:rRNA from 1 species
UGGGGAAUAUUGCACAAUGGGGGAAACCCUGAUGCAGCGACGCCGCGUGAACGAAGAAGGUAUUCGUAUCGUAAAGUUCUGUCCUAUGGGAAGAUAAUGACAGUACCAUAGAAGAAAGCUCCGGCUAAAUACGUGCCAGCAGCCGCGGUAAUACGUAUGGAGCGAGCGUUGUCCGGAAUUAUUGGGCGUAAAGGGUACGCAGGCGGUCUAAUAAGUCGAAUGUUAAAGAUCGGGGCUCAACCCCGUAAAGCAUUGGAAACUGAUAAACUUGAGUAGUGGAGAGGAAAGUGGAAUUCCUAGUGUAGUGGUGAAAUACGUAGAUAUUAGGAGGAAUACCAGUAGCGAAGGCGACUUUCUGGACACAAACUGACGCUGAGGUACGAAAGCGUGGGGAGCAAACAGG